rnacentral:rRNA from 1 species
UGCGUCGGGGGCAAGCGUUGUGCGGAUUCAUUGGGCGUAAAGAGCGUGGAGGCGGCCAGGUAGGUCGGUUGUGAAAACUGGAGGCUCAACCUUGAGACGUCGACCGAAACCCCCUGGCUAGAGUCCGGGAGAGGAGAGUGGAAUUCCUGGUGUAGAGGUGGAAUGCGCAGAUAUCAGGAAGAACACCCGUGGCGAAAGCGGCUCUCAGGAACGGUACUGACGCUGAGACGCGAAAGCGUGGGGAGCGAACAGG